rnacentral:rRNA from 1 species
AGCGAACGCUGGCGGCAGGCUUAACACAUGCAAGUCGAGCGGGCACUUCGGUGUCAGCGGCAGACGGGUGAGUAACACGUGGGAACGUGCCCUUCGGUUCGGAAUAACUCAGGGAAACUUGAGCUAAUACCGGAUACGCCCUUUGGGGGAAAGGUUUACUGCCGAAGGAUCGGCCCGCGUCUGAUUAGCUAGUUGGUGGGGUAAUGGCCUACCAAGGCGACGAUCAGUAGCUGGUCUGAGAGGAUGAUCAGCCACACUGGGACUGAGACACGGCCCAGACUCCUACGGGAGGCAGCAGUGGGGAAUAUUGGACAAUGGGCGCAAGCCUGAUCCAGCCAUGCCGCGUGAGUGAUGAAGGCCUUAGGGUUGUAAAGCUCUUUCGAC